rnacentral:lncRNA from 10 species
UUGGGAGGCCACCCGGCCUCAGGCCCCUGUCAGGUCUCCCACUGCACCAAGAUUGACUACAUGCAGGGCGGCUGAGCUGCCUGAGGCCGGGUGGGAAGGAGGGGUGCCCUCCCCGCUACGGUGGGGAGACCUGCCCCUGUCUCUGCUCCUCCAGCUCGCUUGCAGGCACAAGCUGCUUUGCUUAAAAUGUUAUGUCAUUAAAAAUGAAAUAUGUUCCUUUUAUUGCUUAUUGUUCUAUGUCCCUCUUUUUUGUGGUGUGUUUGAUUUUAUUCAGAUUUUAGUAUUUUCCACAAUGGUCUGUGACUAAAACUUAAUUUAAUGAGAAGAGAUAUAUUUAUUCAGUUCUUUAUUUUGAAAGUGAUUGAGUUAAACAUAAAACAAAGCUAGGAUGAACAGUACAAUUAUAUAUCAUCCAGGAUAUUAUAAAUUCUGAUUUGAAGCUAAGGAAACAAACAUUGGCAAUCUAGCCUCAUGAUUAAGAACAUAACAGAACAUAAAAUUAAAUAAAAAGAAAAGCACCUUUAUGACUGGCAUACUCAGUGUACGCAUUCCCAUCAAAAUGUUUUUGUAAACGUUUCCAUAAGUCGCCGUAGGCAAAUGGCAUGUUGCGGUUUUUGAACGUUACAUAGAUAUCUUCUAUUUUCAUGCAUCUUCCUUGCUGUCCACCUGAGAUUUUAGAGCCAGAUAUCAUUUCUUCAAGGGAGCAUCUCUCCAAACAAGGGUGCAUCAGAAGUUGUUCAUCUGCCAAACAUAAUGCUUCAUUAUUGCAGGAGCGGCGCUGUCUUUGAAAUUUCAGACAUGAGCAAAUGGAGAGACAGACAGGUUGUGGCAGUGUUUGAUCCUCUGGCCAUCCUGAUCCGUGGCCUGCCCUCUGAAGCCAUUGAGUUUUGGUCCAGGAGUGUGAGAUCUGAUGGACACAUAUGUUGGGUCCAAAUAACCAAAGUGGACUUUCAUUUCGUAGUGGGCACACCAGGUAUUUUGCAGGAUUUUCUUGAUGUUUCCUCCUGGUCAGAGCUGGGCUGUGCAUUUUUAGCAGGAACACCCCAGAGGAGAGGUUGGCAGUGCUUAUGCCAGGGCACAGGUGACACUGACUCGUCCCCUAACUGGUGAUGUUAACUUUGAU